ensembl:ncRNA lncRNA:CR43963 long non-coding RNA:CR43963
CGGAGCUUUUCCUUUGACUCGAGUUUAGAUUUCGCAUUUUCCUUUUGUUCUCGUUUCUCUAUUGCGGCUUUAAUUCUUGUCGUGGGUGUGGCACUCAAUAAAAGAUGGGUAAAACAUCCCAACGAACGUUUAAACCAUCGAAUUCAAAACGUUUUUGCGUUUUUGUGAAGGAAGGAAACGAAAAUUAUAAGGCAGUAAAUCAAAAAAAAACAGGGGAAAAAUGAUUACAAAUACAAAGCAAAGCUCUCAUUUGAAUGAAAAAUCAAAAUUGUUAAAAUAAAAUGAAAUGUUGCAAUUGGGAAAGAAUUCUUAUGCGAAAGAUACGAAAAUUUGAAAGAAGAGUAUGAAAAUAUGAUGGAAUUUUAAUUAGAACAUCUAAUGGGCAAGGUCGAAAUUAAUUUAAAAGUAAUGGACUUAGAGGGUAGAAAUACGCGAAAAGCUUCAACGUAAAACGGUAAAAAGGUCAAAGUUUACACACGGUUUAUAAAGCUUUUGGCCGAUAUAAAAUAUUAUUUAAGAAUACAAAACAUGAGGCA